UGGGAAAGUUCGGUCUCCCUUUCCCUCUCCCCUCCCUCUAUCAUGUGCUUGGAAUAUGCUCAGGCUUUUACUCAGAGCAACUGAAGCACGCAUAAUGAACUGAGUAUUAGCGGCAAUUUUAAAUGAAGUGAUGGCCGAGGACGGCUGGAUAUUUGGGGGACUGUCCACCGGAUCCCACAGAACAUAUCUCCUAUCUGGGAUAAUUUCUGUGUCUGAUUGCUGUGAUGCUUCUUGCGCAAUUUGAGGAAGGUUGGAGGAAUAUGGCCCUGAUUCCCCUGCUGUCGGAGAGAGGCCUAAUGGAGAUGUCUGGAACUUGCCCUACUGCUAAACCAACAUGAGGUGAGAGGAGCCAGACAGAGAGAAAGAGGAUAGCUUCUGAUUUGUCCAUGUGUUAAGUAUGGCCCACAGAUCGAAGAGGUGGAGCAUCUAUCUGGGUGACUCACUACAGCUGUCUCGAGUGGAGAGAGAGGCAUGGACUGUCAUGUCCAUCUGAUCAGCAACAACAGUCAAGAUACAGUAUGCUGAUGAAGAAGGAUACAGCAAACUACUAUUUCUUAUCAGCAUUCAUAGUCAGCACUCAGUCAUUUCUGUAUCAUUGUGAUUUAAAAAUCAGUUGCAAAACUGUUUACCUUCUACUGGGCUGUAAAAGUACAACAUCAUUUAUUCUGAAUUGUAAAAGUCUUUAUUGUUGUUCUGGAUUUCAAGUGAAUCUGUCCUUAGAAUUGAGUAUAAGUGAUCCCAAAUGGAACCCACAGUGCACUUGCUCUUUAUCUGAAAUAUGAAUUGAUUGAAACAGUACAUCAAGACAAUAUUUUGUAACGUUCUCAAAUCACUGUAUUUUCUCAAUAAAUGGAAUAAAGUAUAUUCACUAAUA